AUUUUGUACACAUGGUGUUUUAUAUAUAACGUACACUCGUUUUGAACAAUUGCAGUAAUGCGGUAGUGUCAAAUAAGAAGAUAGCGAAACGUUUUAUUACUUUGUUUAUGAAAAGUUUGCAAGAUCAGUUUGGAUCAGUCUGAAAAAUGGCAAAUACAUUCCUAUAUUUCGCUUAUGGGAGUAAUUUAUUGGCUAAAAGGAUACAUUUACAUAAUCCGACCGCAAUAAUGAAAGACAUCGGUUAUAUAAAGAAUUUUAGGCUAGAUUUUCACAGAUAUUCUAAUCGAUGGCAUGGAACAUCUGCCACAAUUGUAGAAACAGAAAAUUCAGUUGUAUGGGGUGUAGUCUGGGAAUUAGACAAGUGCAAUUUAGCUACAUUAGACUGUCAAGAAGGUAUUCAAAAUAAUAUAUAUCACGCAAUGUCAGUGAAUGUUGAAACUCCUGAUGGUAGAACUCUAAAUUGUCGAGUGUACCAGCAGUGUAAUAAUCCAAAAGAAUAUAUAAAACCAGAAGAAUUUCCAAAGGAUAAGAGACCUUCACCAUUAUACCUAGGUACGAUAUUAAAAGGGGCCGAAGAAAACAAUCUUCCCACUGAUUAUAUAAAAUUCUUGAAAACUAUUCCAAAUAAUGGAUAUAAAGGCGAAUACGAUAUUGGCUAUCUUCUGCUGCUGCUGUUCAUAGCUACGUAUCGAAUGCCGGGUAAAUGGUAUUCCAACCAACUCUGAGAAUUUUAAAUCGUCCAUUGAUGCUGAAGGUAUACCCAAACGAACAUCUCUCCAUGAUGGGUAAACAACUUUGUCAGUGAUAAAAAUCGUUGUCCAUACAUCAGGAUUGAUUUGUUUUUCAAGAGCCGCAUUUUCUGCUGGUAACCCAAAGGCAUCCCAGCCCAUU